rnacentral:rRNA from 1 species
CAGUCUCAGUUCGGAUUGAAGGCUGAAAUUCGCCUUCAUGAAGCCGGAAUUGCUAGUAAUGGCAGGUCAGCAUACUGCCGUGAAUACGUUCCCGGGCCUUGUACACACCGCCCGUCACACCAUGAGAGUUGGGAAUACCCGAAGCCUGUGAGCUAACUUUUAGAGGCAGCAGUCGAAGGUAGAAUCAAUGAUUGGGGUGAAGUCGUAACAAGGUAAC